GACGAACGCUGGCGGCGUGCUUAACACAUGCAAGUCGAACGGUAAGGCCCUUCGGGGUACACGAGUGGCGAACGGGUGAGUAACACGUGGGUGAUCUGCCCUGCACUUCGGGAUAAGCCUGGGAAACUGGGUCUAAUACCGGAUAGGACCACUGCCUGCAUGGGUGGCGGUGGAAAGCUUUUGCGGUGUGGGAUGGGCCCGGGGCCUAUCAGCUUGUUGGUGGGGUGAUGGCCUACCAAGGCGACGACGGGUAGCCGGCCUGAGAGGGUGACCGGCCACACUGGGACUGAGAUACGGCCCAGACUCCUACGGGAGGCAGCAGUGGGGAAUAUUGCACAAUGGGCGCAAGCCUGAUGCAGCGACGCCGCGUGAGGGAUGACGGCCUUCGGGUUGUAAACCUCUUUCAGCACCGACGAAGCGCAAGUGACGGUAGGUGCAGAAGAAGGACCGGCCAACUACGUGCCAGCAGCCGCGGUAA
rnacentral:rRNA from 1 species